UUCAGAAGACUUUGAAUACAACACAAAUAGUUUUUAAUACUUUUAUAAUCUUUUUUUUUAAAUCCCUGAUUAUUUUUCAAACUACAUAAUCUUAAAGCAAACCAAUCCCGGUCAAAGUGACUUGUUUUAAAGAAUCCCCACAUCCCCCAAUUCCCCCAGAAGCGUCUGGUAAACUGAUUGUUCUCUCUUUUUAUAUGUUAAUGGCACUAAUGUCUCCACAUUCCUGAGUAUUAUCACCUGGCCCUUCACAGCAACAGUAUCCGGGCUGACUGAGUCUCAUCCAAUCACGGUCCAGAUAUCUGGGUGGGGUUGUAUAUAUACUCUGUUUUCCUGACAGAAUCUUCAUUGAUUUUUUUAUUUUUUGUGAAAUAAAAUUCUAAAACCUUGAAGGACAAACUGCUUUUUGAGAUUCCUACAUUGCCUACAAGGGACCACAUACAGCAAAGCCUACUAAGGCCAUUUCUCAUCUCGUUUUUCCAUUCAAGACUGAAAAGGAAAAUGAGACCCAGAAGAGUCUGUCCUGAAAAGUAAGCUUUGAAAUUCAUCGCAUCUGGGAAAGAUAAAGACAUAUUUCAGUCAAGAGUCAAGAGAAAGAUCGUUGAUGAACAGAAAAGAGCACAUUUGUGUGCAUUUGUGACCACAAACAUCACUACAGGAGAAGAAAUGAUGUUGGACUGCGGAGAUCCUGACAGCUCAUGGAGACAGGUAGCAGGAUGUUUGGUCCAUUACAGACGGAUGGACAACACCCUCAUCAGACAACUACACCCUACACCCAGGAUCCACUUGGUCUGUCUCUACAUGUCAGAACGAGUAACUUCAGUCUUCAAUGGGAUGAAAGACUAAACAUAUCUUAAGCAGAAUGAUGAGCAAAUCAGUGGAAGAGCGUCCUACUAUUGAGGAAAGCCUUCAGGAAGUCAAAACUAUGUGCAAAGACUUAUUGUAGAGUUUACAAUAAGCAUUAAAAUGAUUGGAUAUAAGUAUUAGUGUGAAUUUACAGGUUUGAUCACCAGUCUUAUCAAAUAUCAACCACAAACAGCUACAGCUCAGGAAAGACUUCAGCCUUCAGUCUUGGACACAUCAGUAAAUCACUAGUGCCAUUAAAUCAUUCACCAUAAACAAUACACAAGAUCUAAAGAUCAUUGUCUUUUCAUGUUUUCAACUUUGUGAAGUAUGUAUUACUGACAUUACAUUUUUUUUAAUUCAUUCAUAUAUUUAUUCACUAUAUAUAUUUUUUAUCUUUUAAUUUUGUUAAAUAGCAAGAGCCAGAAAGCCCUGGUCAGAAACAGAGAGGAAAGUCAUAGAACACUGUUUCAAGAUCUACUUGGAGGAAAUGAAGGCUUCUGGAAAAGUGGACUAUGAAAGAUGCAUAAAUGCAAACAGGAUUCUAAAGGAUAAUGGAAGAGACUGGAAAACAGUUAAAUACUUUGUGCUCAACAGAAUAAUUUCAGUUAAGAGAAGUUUGGGUGAACAGUACUGAGCCCAUAAACCCUGAGAGCGUGCGAUGUGGAGUAUCAGUGUUGAGUCCUAACUGUGCCGUGACACUGAAGGUCCAUGUACAUGCAGCAUCAGUGCGUCAUAGCAUUGAAAUGAUUGACUACAGCUGUUUUCAGCUCCUGUUUGGGACUCUGUUUUAGACCUGUUAUAACUUUGAUGUAAGCCACUGUAAUUUUGAACUAUUUAAUUUUUUUUUUAAAUAAACAAAUUUUAUUAUUUUCAUUUUGA